UACGUAGGGUGCAAGCGUUGUCCGGAAUUAUUGGGCGUAAAGAGCUCGUAGGCGGUUUGUCGCGUCUGCUGUGAAAACUCGGGGCUCAACUCCGAGCUUGCAGUGGGUACGGGCAGACUAGAGUGCGGUAGGGGAGACUGGAAUUCCUGGUGUAGCAGUGAAAUGCGUAGAUAUCAGGAGGAAUACCGAUGGCGAAGGCAGGUCUCUGGGCUAUAACUGACGCUCAUGCACGAAGCGUGGGGAGCAAACAGG
rnacentral:rRNA from 1 species